rnacentral:rRNA from 1 species
AGUGAAAUAGAACCUGAAACCGUGUGCUUACAAGUAGUCAGAGCCCGUUAAUGGGUGAUGGCGUGCCUUUUGUAGAAUGAACCGGCGAGUUACGAUUUGAUGCAAGGUUAAGCAGUAAAUGUGGAGCCGUAGCGAAAGCGAGUCUGAAUAGGGCGUUUAGUAUUUGGUCGUAGACCCGAAACCAGGUGAUCUACCCUUGGUCAGGUUGAAGUUCAGGUAACACUGAAUGGAGGACCGAACCGACUUACGUUGAAAAGUGAGCGGAUGAACUGAGGGUAGCGGAGAAAUUCCAAUCGAACCUGGAGAUAGCUGGUUCUCUCCGAAAUAGCUUUAGGGCUAGCCUCAAGUGAUGAUUAUUGGAGGUAGAGCACUGUUUGGACGAGGGGCCCCUCUCGGGUUACCGAAUUCAGACAAACUCCGAAUGCCAAUUAAUUUAACUUGGGAGUCAGAACAUGGGUGAUAAGGUCCGUGUUCGAAAGGGAAACAGCCCAGACCACCAGCUAAGGUCCCAAAAUAUAUGUUAAGUGGAAAAGGAUGUGGCGUUGCCCAGACAACUAGGAUGUUGGCUUAGAAGCAGCCAUCAUUUAAAGAGUGCGUAAUAGCUCACUAGUCGAGUGACACUGCGCCGAAAAUGUACCGGGGCUAAACAUAUUACCGAAGCUGUGGAUUGUCCUUUGGACAAUGGUAGGAGAGCGUUCUAAGGGCGUUGAAGCAUGAUCGUAAGGACAUGUGGAGCGCUUAGAAGUGAGAAUGCCGGUGUGAGUAGCGAAAGACGGGUGAGAAUCCCGUCCACCGAUUGACUAAGGUUUCCAGAGGAAGGCUCGUCCGCUCUGGGUUAGUCGGGUCCUAAGCUGAGGCCGACAGGCGUAGGCGAUGGAUAACAGGUUGAUAUUCCUGUACCACCUAUA